UCAGUCAGCAAUCCGGAGCAAUAGUAGCAGCAAGGCAUCUCUUGCUGAGGGUGUAUUCUUGGUUGGAUGAUGCUAUUGAAUAAGUUCUCAAUUUGAGCUUAAGCUAGUGCUGAAGGAAAUUGAAAGUAGAUCAUCAAGAAAAGAGUAUAUUCAGCUACUUGCAGAAUGCCACAAACUUUAUUGUGAGCAGAGGCUUUCCUUGGGAUCAAAGAAUCAGAAAGAAAAAAACAUAUAAAACUCUGCAGCAACAGUCUACUGCAGUAAUCUUGUUAUUCACUUUAAAGUUAAGACUUCCGGCAACAACACCUUUGGCACUCUACAGAUUCCCUAGAUGUGACAAGCGAAGUAUAAAAGGAUACUUAAGACUCCUUGAAAGUAGUAACUUUGUUUAUUUAUUUGUGUUGAAAGUAGUAACUUUUAGACUC